GAUGAAGAACGCAGCGAAAUGCGAUAAGUAGUGUGAAUUGCAGAAUUCAGUGAAUCAUCGAAUCUUUGAACGCACAUUGCGCCCCUUGGUAUUCCAUGGGGCAUGCCUGUUCGAGCGUCAUUUGUACCUUCAAGCUUUGCUUGGUGUUGGGUGUUUGUCUCGCCUUUGCGUGUAGACUCGCCUUAAAAUAAUUGGCAGCCGGCGUAUUGAUUUCGGAGCGCAGUACAUCUCGCGCUUUGCACUCAUAACGACAGCGUCCAAAAGUACAUUUUACACUCUUGACCUCGGAUCAGGUAGGGAUACCCGCUGAACUUAAGCAUAUCAAUAAGCGGGGGA
rnacentral:misc_RNA from 1 species